CCCGCGGCCGGCAGGACAGAGGAACGUUCAGUCGCCCAACGCCGCUCGCGCCGCGGCGCCUCUCGGGGUUUGUUUCGCGUCCCCGCCCCAGCAGCCGCGAUAGGCGCGGCCCAGUCAGACCCUGCCCUCACCUGGUGGAGCCACCUGCACCUCUGCCCUUGGAUGGGAAUGAUUUUUAAUCCUGCUGAGCUGGGCUGAAAUCAAAUUGGUGAUGCACAGGGGAAAGGCUCUAUGGCUCAUGAGCAAUGCCUUCACACAUCCAGUUUCCAGUAAGGGAAAUAGAACAGACAAUAGCACCCAGUGACUAAGCAAGAAUCGUAUUCCAAACUAAAGAGGCAGUAGUUGGACCAGCAGUGCACAACUCAGGAAAUAAAUACUGAAGGAAUUGAGAUUUUCAGUCAAGGAACAAGAUAAGUUAUGUGCAAGCACAGGUCUCAGUGAAACAGCCAUGAAGUUGGAGUUCACCAUGUUGGAGAUGGCAAAAGUGGAGAAGGAAUGAGAAUUAAUAUAAGAACAGCCAUACUGGCUCAGACCAAAAGUCCAUCUAGCCCAGUAUCCUGUAUUCCGACAGUGGCCACUGCCAGGUGCUUCAGAGGGAAUGAACAAAACAGGUAAUCAUCAAGUGAGCCAUCCCCUGUUGCCCAUUCCCAGCUUCUGGCAACCAGAAGCUAGGGACACCAUCCCUGCCCAUCCUGGCUAAUAGCCAUUGAUAAACCUAUCCUCCAUGAAUGUAUCUAGUUCUCUUUUGAACCCUCCCCAGACCCCAAACCACCACGGGGAAAAGCAUCUGGCUCUCUCGGGAAGAAGCUUUUGCUGUGCCCCAUGCAGGUUCUGGGGCAGCUGAGGAGGCGAUAUUUGCUACUCAACUUCCAGGGUUCAUCAAUAAUCUCUCUCGAGUCCAGGGACAUUACUGAUGAACCCGGGAAGCUGAAUAGCACAUACUGCCUCCUCACUUGCCCCAGAACCUGCAUGGGGCAUAAUAAAACAAAAACUUCCGUCCUCCAAACCCCGCAACCGGGGUUCUGGCGGCUGCGUCAGUGCCGGGCCUAUUAUACCCACCGCCCAUGCCCGUACCCCUCCAUCUAUCCAGCUUGGUGUACACCUAAAAGUUUUACCAGCAGAGCCAAGUUGAUUAGAAGUGUGAAAAAAUCACACCCCUUACCAACACAGCUAUGCUGGCAAAAGUCCUAUUGUAGAUGCAGCUAUACCGGCAACAAGUCCUUUUGCUUGUAUCGCAUGUUCCACUUGGGGAACUCUUUUGCCAGUAAAAGCUGUGUCUCCUCAAGGAGGGUUUUCUGGUAGAGCUCUGCUGGUGUAUCUCAACCCCCUCCUGGCAAACCCUUUCAAGUGUAGACAGGGCUGUAUUGUGGACACAGGCAGACUACAUGUACACUAGCAACUGUAUGCGUGUCCAUAAGAACAUAAGAACGGCCAUAGUGGGUCAGACCAAAGGUCCAUCUAGCCCAGUAUCCUGUCUUCUGACAGUGGUCAAUGCCAGAUGCUUCAGAGGGAAUGAACAGAACAGGUAAUCAUCAAGUGAUCCAUCCCGUCGCCCAUUCCCAGCUUCUGGCAAAUUCCAGAUAUGGGCAGCUAAAGAGAAACCACAGUGCAAGAAGAGACCCACCAGAGAGCACUCGAGUUAGAAGGGCAAAAAUGGGAAGGAGAGAAAGCAGCAGCUCAGGAAAGAGCUGGAAAGGCAGUUCAUGAUCAAAAGACUGAAAUUAGAAAGUCAGGUCCCUCAGCCAGUAGGUAAUCUUCACCAGGUAGUCACAGUUGAGAUAAAGUGUGCCCGACAGUUACAGGGGGAUUGAUUGCAUUGAAGACUAUUUACCCACCUUCAAAAGGAUAUGCACGGUACACAGAACCCCUGGAGAAUGACUCACUUCCCAAAUUACUUGUAAAGUUUUGCAAGUAUUCAAUGAUAUGGAUGUAAGUGACGCUAUGAAAUAUGUCCAGUAUAAGAAGUCUAUGUUCAGUAGGUUUCAAAAUACCCCAGACGCAUAUUGCCUCCAAUUUAGAAACCUCAGAAAACUUCACAAAAUGAAUCACAGGGAAUAUGUUCAUAAAGUGGUGGAUUAUUUGAGAAAAGGAAUCAAAAGUAAAGGGGAAGACAAUUAUGACAACACCUGUUUGCUCAGGAGAACAGUGGGAACAGUCUCCAACUUCUGUUGUGGUGGCAGCUGAGGCAGUGGACCGGACUCAUACCUGCCAGCAAGACCCUUCUUAGAACUCAAGUCCCAAAGGGAAGGGCAAAAGCCGAGCAUAAAAGGGGCUUCCUGAUUUGUCCCCAGGAAAAAUGAGGGAAGGGUGGGGACUAACCCCAUACCACUCCAAUUCCCGUUGCCUCAGUGAGUCUGUUAAAUUUGGGGUGGGUAUCCCAAAGUAUCAGUAUCUUCAAGCUGUCCUCUCAGGUGUGCUGUGAUCAAAGUAGACAGAAGAUGGUUACAUUUGGAGGGAUGCAAUGAAAACUGUUUUGAAGGUCUACUCAAAAUGGUACGUGUCUGCAGGUAGAUGCUGCAGAAGGUAGGCGCUGGAGAAGCUACACAGCUGUAUCAGGAGAGCAACAGAAUGUCCUCUCCCAUCAUUCUUAAAUAAUUAUCUAAACCCAUUCUGAGCAGGUGGCCCCGGGGUCAGCCACACUGUCCGCUGCAGAAGUCAUGGAGGUUGCAGGAAAUCACGGAAUCCGUGACUUCCGCACCUCUGGCUCCGUGACAAACAUGGAGCCCUACAAUUGAUUUACAUCAAUGUAAGAUGAGAGGUGAAUCAGGUUGUAUAUCACAGGUAUCCAUAUUAAAGGCUCAGAAACUAAA